UCAUCCUCACACCCUAGCACCUAAAUGGUCGCGUACUGUGCGGUUUAAGAGGAAUUUCCUCCCGCGUACGCUUCGGCUGUGGAAUGAGCUCCCUGCCGAGGUUUUCCCGAGGGGCUACAGUAUGGGGUUCUUCAAAAAAGGAGUGUACAGGUUUUUAAAGGGUCGGCAACGCGCGUGUAAUAUCUCUGGUGUUGCAGGCGUUCAUAGGCUACGGUAACUGCUUACCAUCAGGCGGGCCGUAUGCUUGAUUGCCACCGACGUGAACCAAAUUAAAAUGGAACUACCUUGGAGUUAACUCCUUUCAAACAAAAAAAGAAUUACUCAAAUCGGACCACGGGUGUCGGAGUAAUCGGUGAACAUACAUUAAAAAAAUA